UCCACCCCGCCGUCUCCUUCCGCCGCAAUCUCGUCCCCGGCCACCUCCCCUCUCCUUCACCUGCGCUCGGUCACAUGGGGUGGUGACGCAUGCAGGAGUGCGGAGGAUGUGUCUACGUGGGAUGCGCAACUCGGGCCGCAACGGCAUGCCGCCCCGUCCUUGCCUCGAGGUCGCAGCCGCCGCGUCGUCCACGUCCCGUCACCUUGGGUCGGUCAGCGCAGAAGCCCUGGCAAGGAGUCGCUGAAUCUUCCUGUCGAUUUUCAUCGACGUGAAUUGCAUGACGGCGGGCAGCGACAACACGACACCUGACGAGGAUGCACGCUCGGCCAUGAGGACGAGACCAGGAUGGCGCGAUUGGAGGGACGACAACGCCACAGAGUGCUGCGGCCAGCUGCUACCCUAUAGUCGCCGUCGGCCAUGGGAUCGACAUGCCCUGUGCCUCCACUAUGAGGUUGUGUUAACCUGGAGCUGUCGUGCCUGCGCGCACGUCAUGCAGUUUGAGCGGGCAAAGCUCUGGCAGUCCGGCUUCUUCUCGUCAGCCCGUGAGAUUCAAGCUGCCUCUUCUCUCCGAUUCCCCUCCUUUUCUGAUGUGCUUCUUUGGUUCGUGUUUGUACUUCCAUCUUUUUUCAUGCACGGUAGUUGUUUGUGUUGAUGCCUAUAAGGGGAAAUCAAGUUCCUGGUCAUUUUCUUAGGUACAGUGAGUUUUCCAAUUUGUCGCUCAUGGUUUUUGUUUUCUAGAAUCAAAAUUUGGUUCUGCACAACGUAUAUGUAUAUCUUUUGAUGUGCUCUCAAAUCAUUUCUUCUUGGGAGAAGUUUACAUUUA